rnacentral:misc_RNA from 1 species
GAAAUGCGAUACGUAGUGUGAAUUGCAGAAUUCAGUGAAUCAUCGAAUCUUUGAACGCACAUUGCGCCCUUUGGUAUUCCAAAGGGCAUGCCUGUUCGAGCGUCAUUUGUACCCUCGAGCUUUGCUUGGUGUUGGGCGUUUUUUGUCUUUGGCUCGCCCAAAGACUCGCCUUAAAACGAUUGGCAGCCGGCCUACUGGUUUCGCAGCGCAGCACAUUUUUGCGCUUGCAAUCAGCAAAAGAGGACGGCAAUCCAUCAAGACUCCUUCUCACGUUUGACCUCGGAUCAGGUAGGGAUACCCGCUGAACUUAAGC